rnacentral:rRNA from 1 species
GGGGAAUUUUGGACAAUGGGGGAAACCCUGAUCCAGCCAUGCCGCGUGCGGGAUGAAGGCCUUCGGGUUGUAAACCGCUUUUGUUAGAGACGAAAAGGGACGCACGAAUAAUGCGCCCCGCUGACGGUAUCUGAAGAAUAAGCACCGGCUAACUACGUGCCAGCAGCCGCGGUAAUACGUAGGGUGCAAGCGUUAAUCGGAAUUACUGGGCGUAAAGGGUGCGCAGGCGGCUGUGCAAGACAGAUGUGAAAUCCCCGGGCUUAACCUGGGAACUGCAUUUGUGACUGCACGGCUAGAGUUUAUCAGAGGAGGGUGGAAUUCCGCGUGUAGCAGUGAAAUGCGUAGAUAUGCGGAAGAACACCAAUGGCGAAGGCAGCCCUCUGGGACAUGACUGACGCUCAUGCACGAAAGCGUGGGGAGCAAAC